rnacentral:rRNA from 1 species
UACGUAGGGUGCAAGCGUUGUCCGGAAUUAUUGGGCGUAAAGCGCACGUAGGCGGCUUGUUGCGUCGACUGUGAAAACCCGCGGCUUAACCGCGGCUUGCAGUUGAUACGGGCAGGCUAGAGUUCGGUAGGGGAGACUGGAAUUCCUGGUGUAGCGGUGAAAUGCGCAGAUAUCAGGAGGAACACCGGUGGCGAAGGCGGCCCACUGGUCCGGUACUGACGCUGAGGUGCGAAAGCGUGGGAGCAACAGG